AUGAGGAGAAGUGAUGCGUGCCUCCUCCUUGGCUUCAUGGCCAUCACUGUUGUUCUCAUUGUCUGCGGGUGGUAUUCAUCUUCUCCGCCCGAUGGCCCGAGUUUCUCCGUCAAGCUCACGGGCGUGGGUGGUCUCGUCCCGCAGGGCGGCGGCGGCCCGGCGGUGAUCCACCCGGCGUUCGGCCUUACCCUCCGAGCCCACAACGGCCAGAGCUUCAAGACCUGCAGGGAGAACGUCACGACCACGGUGCUGUACGGCAAAGUGGUGCUGGGAUGGGCCCGCGUGCCGGACUUCUGCGUCGACGAGUGGGCGUCCACGGAGAUGAGCGCCGUGGUGUCCAACGCCGACGUGGUUCUCACCGAUGACCUGCGACGUCGUCUGGACUCGGAGCUGCUCGCCGGGACGCUGGAGCUGGAUGUGGAGACGAGGAUCCAACUUCAACUAGCUAGUAUGUCUAAUCAAGAGCCUUCAUGCAGCAUGUUGCAUCAAGCAGCACCCAUGUACCUGCCAUCGACGUCAUACACAGGUUAUUACGCUGGUGGUAACCCGGCAAACGUCUCAUGGCAAGCUUCACAAAUUGUAGGUGGAGCACGUCAUUAUGGUGUCACAGACCACACAAGAUGGUCAAAUGCAGCACAACAAGGGCCUACAACUACACUGAACAGCGGCGCGGGGACAUCUACGGCGGGGAGCUCUGAGCGCAUGGAAGACGUGUUCCACCAGCCAGCAAACAAUCAUGCCGCAAAAAAUUUCGAGUCAGAGUCGGGAAUGGCAAUCAUUCCAGCAAUGCCGACAAGCACCCCUUUGAACACAAGCACUGGCAACACUCAAUUAGAUGGAACUGCCGCCGAUACCGAAGUGAAUGAUGAAACUGACGAUGACGCACAAGGGGAUGAAGAUGGUGGGCAAUCAGAGAUCGUGGUACCUUAG
rnacentral:rRNA from 1 species